rnacentral:rRNA from 1 species
ACGGGGUGCAGCAGGCGCGAACACUUUACAAUGCGGGAAACCGCGAUAAGGGAACCCCGAGUGCCAGCAUCAAAUGUUGGCUGUCCAGAUGAUUAAAAAUCAUUUGUUAGCAAGGGCCGGGCAAGACCGGUGCCAGCCGCCGCGGUAACACCGGCGGCCCGAGUGGUAGCCGUUUUUAUUGGGUCUAAAGGGUCCGUAGCCGGCCUGAUAAGUCCUUUGGGAAAUCUGGCAGCUUAACUGUCAGGCUUCUAAGGGAUACUGUCAGGCUUGGGACCGGAAGAGGUAAGGGGUACUCCAGGGGUAGGAGUGAAAUCUUGUAAUCCCUGGGGGACCAUCUGUGGCGAAGGCGCCUUACCAGAACGGGUCCGACGGUGAGGGACGAAAGCUAGGGGAGCAAACCGGAUUAGAUACCCGGGUAGUCCUAGCUGUAAACGAUGCUCGCUAGGUGUCAGACACGGUGCGACCGUGUUUGGUGCCGCAGGAAGCCGUUAAGCGAGCCACCUGGAAGUACGUCGCAAGGC